UUCAGGAUGAAUUGAAGAAGUUAGCUAGGC
rnacentral:piRNA from 2 species